CAACUCUUCGCUUGUCGGAGGUCCCGCUUGUGCGACCAAUUUCCGCACAUGCGCGGUCGGCCACCGCAAUGCCCAUUCGACGUCUAGGUAGCGGCGCAGCUGGUCAGCUAGCGCAUGGUAGUUGGGACACAUUGGAGACAGAGCCCGUCACCCAGAAGGCAAGCACCCCUCCUUCCUCCUGCCACAGCCAUACAGGAAUGUCCUGUGGCCAGGGCUACAGUUUGGGGAAAUGCCAGUCUGGAUGGGAUUGAGGAAAAAGCAGAAGCAAAUCUGCUGGCAGGAAAACAGCCAAAUGAGUGGAGAAAACCUGGAGGCAGACACCUGUGGCACAACAUGGAGCAGAGCCCACCAGCCCGGACAUGGUUACCUUUUUGCGUGGCCGAAGCUUUUCCCGCCAUUCCUUCAGGUUCUGGUUAUGGCUCUCAUCCAGGGCCUUCAGCUUCUGGGUUUCAUGCUCUACCAGGAGGUGACACUUCUCAUUCUGGAACAAAUUCCAGACAGAACAGUCGGUUUCGCCUCCUACAAGAAACCUCUGCUGGCUGCCGUCAUUGCACUCAGAUGAGGAACUGCAAUUACCCACACCAGCUGUGCAGCCAGAGCUCGGAUUAUCUGUCUGGGUCCCCACUAAGGGGACAACUGCACAGAGCGCCGCCUCCCGGUCUGUGGAGGACACCGCAGCGUGAGGUGCCGAUGGCCAGAGCCCCAUGGACCCUCCCCGGCCCCUCACCAUGCAGCUGCUGACUGUGCCACCUCCUCACACCAGGCUGGAUGAGCCACUCCAGAAACUUCCUCAACACCCACGGGAUGAGAGCUCGCUACAGCAGGAAGGGUUCCGAGCCAGGAGCCCGAGAAACUGGACGCCUCGGCUGGAAGCCAGCUCCCUCGCUGGGAUUGAGGGCAGAAGCAAAGUCAUCAUGGUCACAGAGAAAACGGACAAGAGCAAAUAUACAGAGAGGACAUGUAAGAGAGACCGAGAGACAUGUCAGCCAGUUGUGACGUGGGCUUUGGUUGGACCCUGAUUCAAACAACAAAUUGUAAAAAAAACUUUUCAAAGGAGACAACUGGAAAUGUGAGUACUGACUGACUGCAAACAUGUUGUUAAGCAACUAUUGUUAGACGUUUAAAUGUUUGACGUGUGCUCCUUGUAUUGUGGUCAAUUUUUAGAGAUGCUUGAGAUUUGCAUACUCGUGUUCUUAGCGGCAGCAUUCACAGUAGCCAAGGGGUGGAAACAACUCACGUGUCCAUGGACAGAGGAAUGGAGAAACAAGAUGUGUAUAUACACACAGUGGGAUAUUGUUCAGUCUUUAAAAGGAAGGGAAUUCUGACACAUACUACCACAUAAAUGAACCUUGAGGACAUUCUGUUAAGCCAGUCACAUAAGGAAGAAUACUGUAUGACUCCACUUAUAUGAGUUCAAAUUCAUACAGACAUAAAACAGAAUGGUGGUUGCCAGGGGCUACAAGGAGGGAAAAUGGGGGUUUAGUAUUUAAUGGGGACAGAGUUUCAGUUUUGCAAGAUGAAAAGAGUUCUGGAGACGGAUGGUGGUGAUGGUUGCACAACAAUGUGAAUGUACUUAGUGCCACUGAGCUGUGCACUUAAAAAAUGGUUAAGAUGGCAAUUUUACAUUCUAUCUGUUUUACCACAAUUAAAAAAAAAAAAAACAUCUAAAACACCUUUCCCUGUUAUAAUGUAAUAAUCUAGCAAAUGAGUUUUAAUGGCUGAAAGUCUUUCAUAGUCUGGCUCUACCCUAACUUAUUUAGCCAGUAUGUGAUAGGUUGUUUCCAGGUUCUGUUUUAGGUAGCGCCGCUUUUCACACUCUGGUAGCUCAAUGUCCAUGAGCCUCUGUGAUGAUCAGUCCUCACGAUUAGUCUCUAGACACAGAAAGUCCAGGCCAAAGCGUGUGCACACUUUUGAGGCUCUCAAUACAAUUGCCAGAUUGGAGAUGAGCUAGGAAGCUACUGCAGCCGUCCAGGCAAAAGAUGACAGUGGCUAGGGGGUCACAGAGAUGUGGACAAGUUGAUGGAUCCAGAGAGUUUGGAGGUAACAGAAAACAUGCUUGAGGAGGUAGGUAGUAGAGGACUGGAAGGAAAGGAGGCGUCAGGCCUGCCGUCCGGAUGGAGGGCGGUGCCCCCGCCAAACACAAAAGGAACAGGUCUGGGAAAUCAUGGGUUUCAGUUGCGAAAAGAUGCCAAGUGAGCAGAUGGAUAUGCUGGGUUGGCCAAGGAGACGUGACUUACAAACAACCCUAAAACAAGGCAGAAGGCACUAAAGGCUUUGGGAGAGGUGAGGUGAAGGUGGGGUAUCCAGAGAAGGGAGAGCUCGCUUCCAGCUGGAGUGAGGGCAGUCAAGGAGGACUGCACGGGCGAGGUGAGAGCGGGAUGACAAGAGGAUGGGCUAGAUUUGAGUAUUCAGAGUAAGAGAUGGGCAUUCGAGGGGCAGGGCAUAGACAGAGGGGCAUGGUCACCAGCAGGGUCUCAAACCUGGGACUCCCCAACCCCUCUACCCCAAGUGAGGGCAAGG